rnacentral:rRNA from 1 species
GACAGAGGGUGCAAACGUUGUUCGGAAUUACUGGGCGUAAAGCGCGUGUAGGCGGCCCUGCAAGUCGGAUGUGAAAUCCCACGGCUCAACCGUGGAAGUGCAUUCGAAACUGCGGGGCUAGAGUACUGGAGAGGAAGGUGGAAUGCUUGGUGUAGAGGUGAAAUUCGUAGAUAUCAAGCGGAACACCGGUGGCGAAGGCGGCCUUCUGGACAGUGACUGACGCUGAGACGCGAAAGCGUGGGGAGCAAACAGG